AUCUGUACAAAUCCUUUGCUGUGGAAAGGGUGGUAUGGAAGGGAGAAGCAGGAGUUUUCCUGUUGGUAACUGGACACAGGAACAAUGUAUCACUGGUUUGUGAAGACAGCAUAUUGCCAUCAGAGUGAAGAUGAGAACCUUCUCAACAACCAGCUUCCAGGAAUCCGAGGUUCUGCUCUUGGGGAAACUUUAAUGAUCGCUCAUGGAAUGAUGUGGAUGCCAGGAAUAUUCAAAAAGAUGGGACUCAACCUGUCUGGUCAGGACUGUACUCGGGAGACCUGGGAUCUGCACAGGAGAGGAUUCCAGCUGAAAAUAGCCUCAGCAGCUGCUUCAAGGGCAAUUAUCUAUCAAUAAGAUGGUGCAGGGCUAACGCAUGCCAACCCUGUCCUUCCUCCUCCUUGGGCUGGUCUCAGAACAGAUCCUCUUCUCCUGAGAUGCAAGGCCAACAUCUCACUCGCUCAGUAGCUGAUGGACGAGGAAGAGAGGGAAUGGGCAAUGGUGAAGGCAUCAAUAAUUGGGAUGCAUCUAAUCUGUGCUGUAAAUUGUGGUGCUGAACACGAGACCUUAUUUUAGAGGUACAGUGGAAGAAGAGAUUCUGGUUGGGAGAGAGAGAUGGGGAAAAAUGGGAUUUUCAGAAGAGGAUAAGGUGGGGAAAAGAGGAAUUGCAGAAGUGAAAAGAAGCCAGAAAGGGUCAGACAGUGGGGUCAGAGUUGGAAGAGGCUCUCCCUAGACAUCAAGGACAAUGGAGAUGUGUUCAACCACGCCUAAGAGGUGAUGGGACCUCAGCAGGGAGACCUGAGCAUGGCUGGGCUGCUCUCUCCACGACUGAAGUGAGCGUUAAACAUUUGAUCUG